GUACCUCUCCUUGCUCCUGCCAUGUGAAGAAGGGAGGUUUGCUUCCCCUUCUGCCAUGAUUGUAAGUUUCUUGAGGCCUCUUCAGCCAUGCUGAACUAAUCUCCACAGGAUCUACCCAGGGAGGCCACUCAAAUGUCUGAUGCAUGAUUGAAUGAAUGCAUGCACCAAUGCUUCCUCCAGUCAGUAGCCCCAAGAUUGUUACUCCUUGCCCAAUGACAAGAUGUGUGUAAGCACUGUUGGAGAGGGUAUCUGGCCAGUAAACAACAAGCUCUACAACUUACAUGAAGCCAUGUUAAUACACGCUAGCUGUCACUGUGAAGCAUAUACUGUUGCCUUGUCUAUUCAGAGAUACUUCCACAGGGACACAGCUAUAGCCCAUUUACCUCCUCUCAAGUUUUAAUAAUAUUGUUAAGGAAUUCGUUAUAAGAAAUUGCUGAGAACACCUAGGGGAAUUGCUAAAUAAUUCCACAGUAGUUCUGCUUGAACAUCAUAAGUGCUAGGUUGCAUAAGACCACUGUUUCUUUUUUCAUUGUGUUUUGUAUUUUGUUUUGCAUAAAACAAUGUGAAUAUCACCACUGUUAUCCUUCUAAAUAAAAUAUUGAAAUAAAUGGGAUAUUCAAAGCCUUCACCUUGCUGGAUUAAAUUGCAAUAAGUUUAAAAUUUAAAAAGUGGUGUUUCAACUUAACACAUGGGAUAGGCUUCUCAAAACACUAGAGUAGAGGGGGGAAAUUGCAAAGUAAUUAUUUAUUCUUUGCUUUGUCUUUCAUGACAUGAAAUACUUUGCUGAAUUAUUCUACUUAGAAGGUUUAGGGUUGCUUUUCUGUGAUGGCAUAUGUAUUUUUUUUGUUUGUUUUUGUUGUAAUGCAAGAUUAUUUCUUUUCAAAGGGUGGUGUCACAAGAGGCCUGCUGUAAAAAUCCAGAGAUGCUGCCAGUAAUUAGGCAGCUGGGUGGCCCAGAAAUUGUCUUCAUUACACUGUUGUUUCUUUGCCAGUUCUCUCUUUUCUCUCUUCUGGGAAAGGAAGAAAAAAAAAGCUCUGUUUUUCUUUACAUAGUUCUUAUGGCAGAAUGAAUAAGCCUUGUUUUUGGUUUUUUGUUUCUUUCACUUGCCAGAAUCUUCUGAUACAACAUCAACUUCCACAUUUAUGAUUUAUAGCCCUUGCUUUGAUUUACAAUCGAUUGUCAAAACAUGUUUAAUGAAUGAUCAGGGCUACAGUAUUUAAUGUGUUAAGGGUAUUCUAUGCACAAAUUCAUGGGCUUCACAUGCACAUAUGCUGUCCACAUGGAUUAAUAUUGUGACUGUUUUUAAAACCAAAACAGUUCUUCAAUGUGCAUCAUUCUGAUAACCAAGAUAAUACAUGUCCAGGGCUUAUAAUAAAUGACUGUCAGCCUAAGGGACACAGAAAAGGUUGUUCUGUCUCUCUUUCCUUCUCUUCAUCUCUGACAGGUUCUUUUCUCAGUCCAACAUGUGGUUGUGAGAAAUGAACUACAAAUGUGUCUGUGGAUGUACCAUGCACACGUGUGUGUCGUGUGUGGUUUGAAUUCUCUUAUUUGGGCAUGUGAGGGAAUUUGUAGCUUAUGCUAUGUAGGAUUAUAGUUAGUAGGUGUUUCAUAACUGUUGGAUGAACUAAAUAAUAAGCUUUUUGCAUUUCUUUUUCAACAUUUUUUUGAAGCUAGAUGUAGUGGGCUGAACGGUGGUCCCCCAAAAGAUUUGUCAACAUCCUAACCCCAAGAACCUGUGAUUAUUACCUUAUUAUAAUAAAAGAUGGGAUUAAGUUAAAGAUCUUGAUUGGAUAAAUUUAUUCUGCAUUAGCCUGGAGGCCCUCAAUGCACCAUACACUCUAAAACAGAGGCAGAAGGAAUUUUGAGACAAACACAGAGAGACGGAAGCAAUGUGACCACAGAGGCAGAGAUUGGAGAGAUGCAGCGACAAACCUAGGAAGGCCAGCGAUGCCAGGUGGCCAUCAGAAACUGGAAGAGGAAAGGAACCAGUUCUCCUCCAGAGCCUCUGGGAAGAGGGCAGCCCUGCUGACACUUUGAUUUCUGACUUCUGGCUCCCAGAACUGUGAAGGAAUAUAUUUUUGUUCUUUUAAGCCACCCAGACUGUGGGAAUUUGUUACAGUAGCCACAGGACAUUAAUACGCUGGUUAAUCUCAUGAAUCCGGCAGGCAAGGCCUGGGUGUGCAGGAGCCUAGAAGCCCAGACCUGUGGGUACGGUGAGGACAGCUCCGCCAGAAAAGCAGACUUGCAGAGAGCAGUAAUGCAGAGACUCGGGGAGAGCAUCCUGGGCUCAGAGGUUGUUCCAUGCCUAGGAUAUACAGCAAACAAAGUUUGAUCCAGGCAAGCAUUGAGUUUUUUUAGGUUGACCAAAAUAGUGGGUAGGGAACUGCAGCAGUAAUACAGAUGGAAGAAAAAACUUAAAGUCAAAUGAGCAUCAGUAUUAGUUAUCAUUAGUUAAUUAGAAAUACUAACAGGAGAAAGCAUUCAUUGAGAACCCACUGUUUGCCAGGCUUUGAACUACCAUAGACCUAUCAUGUAGGUUUCAUUGAUCUCUUUUCACACUUUAUAGUAAGUGCAAAACUAGGAUUCAAAUUCAAGUAGAUCUGACUCCUACUCUAGGUUUUUCACUACUGUGCUGCAUAUUCUCACUCCUCUGUACUACCCCAGUCAGGACUGUACUAUUAAUAAUACACAGCAGACUGCAGGCCCAGUGGGCAGCAUGUUGAUAGGAACUGGACAGUGUCAAGAUUCUGUCUAGUUGUGGAUGAAAUGCCAGACCUAUCAAAGAGAGAGAACAAUACCAUGGAGGAGAAAUGAGUGUGGGGCUUCCAGUAAACUACAUUCAAAUUCACGCUUGGCACUGGUGGGCUGCCUGAUCUCUAGCCCACUUCCUUAUCUUUGUAAUGUGAGCAAUAAUAUCUAUGCCACAGAAUCAAUCCAAGAGAGGAUAUAUGCAAGUCAAAAGCCUGGUUCAAUGUCUAACAAGAAAAAUGAUUUCCUGUCUCAUGGUAGGGUUUGAAGGAAAUUGCACAAAACCGUAACAGGCAUUUUUAUUGGCUAGUAUAAAUUACAGUGAGACAGCCUUAAGUCUUAUGCUCUAUUUUUGAAGUAAACAUUGAAUUUAAUUAAAACUAUAUAAAAUUAAAGGAGGCUUGGUGAAAUGGUCACUUGAUUAGAAAUCUGAUCUCCGACAUCUCUAGGUUUCCUGUCUAUGCAAUUAACUCCAAUAGAUUUGAGAAGCACUUGGAUUUCAUCCAAAGAAAGGGAAGUUAUUUAUUACAAAUAUAAAUAAAUAUUCCAGAGCUGACCUGUAUUCUGACAAUCAACAUAUAGUAGGCUACAUUUGAUGUAAUAUUGAUUUGCCUUCCUUGUCAAACUUUUGGGGUAUAAGAUUUGGAAUCAACUUGUUGAGGUGCAUCAGUCUUUCAGGCAGAGCUUCUUACAAGUACACAGUACUCAUAUUCCAAUGGCAUUAUUUGGUAACUUAAAAAAUAUUAAAUAUAAAAAUUUUGUGCCCUUGAAUGUAUUUUAAUUGAAAAUUACAGAGUUGAUCUGAAGUAUAGCCUCUUUGGGAUUGAAGAAGAAAGAGUUUAGUAUUCUUUUCUUAUUUUUCAUAAAAGGAAGUAACAGGCAAUAAUGAAACAUGUACGUAUAAUGGAGUAAAAAUUAAUGAAUAGAUACUUUUUCUAUUCAUUAGUGUGAAUAGAUUAUGAAUUCAAGUAUGAAUACAUACUUCAAAUAGAAUGAUUUAAUGGUUGACUCAAAAAUAAAGACCUUAUAAAAUUCUUCA